AUGAACGCUGGCGGCGUGCCUCAUACAUGCAAGUCGAGCGCACAGACGAGGAGCUUGCUCCUCUGACGUUAGCGGCGGACGGGUGAGUAACACGUGGAUAACCUACCUAUAAGACUGGGAUAACUUCGGGAAACCGGAGCUAAUACCGGAUAAUAUAUUGAACCGCAUGGUUCAAUAGUUAAAGACGGUUUUGCUGUCACUUAUAGAUGGAUCCGCGCCGCAUUAGCUAGUUGGUAAGGUAACGGCUUACCAAGGCGACGAUGCGUAGCCGACCUGAGAGGGUGAUCGGCCACACUGGAACGGAGACACGGUCCAGACUCCUACGGGAGGCAGCAGUAGGGAAUCUUCCGCAAUGGGCGAAAGCCUGACGGAGCAACGCCGCGUGAGUGAUGAAGGUCUUCGGAUCGUAAAACUCUGUUAUUAGGGAAGAACAAAUGUGUAAGUAACUAUGCACGUCUUGACGGUACCUAAUCAGAAAGCCACGGCUAACUACGUG
rnacentral:rRNA from 1 species